GAUGAACGCUGGCGGCGUGCCUAGUACAUGCAAGUCGAGCGAACAUACGAUGAGCUUUCUCCUCUUACGUUAGCGGCUGACGUGUGAGUAACACGUUGAUAACCUACCUAUAAGACUGGGAUAACUUCGGGAAACCGGAGCUAAUACCGGAUAAUAUAUUGAACCGCAUUGUUCCAUAGUUUAAGCCGUUUUUGCUGUCACUUAUAGAUGUAGCCUCGCCGCAUUAGCUAGUUGGUAAGGUAACGGCUUACCAAGGCAACGAUGCGUAGCCGACCUGAGAGGGUGAUCGGCCACACUGGAACUGAGACACGGUCCAGACUCCUACGGGAGGCAGCAGUAGGGAAUCUUCCGCACUGGGCGAAAGCCUGACGGAGCAACGCCGCGUGAGUGAUGAAGGUCUUCGGAUCGUAAAACUCUGUUAUUAGGGAAGAACAAAUGUGUAAGUAACUAUGCACGUCUUGACGGUACCUAAUCAGAAAGCCACGGCUAACUACGUG
rnacentral:rRNA from 1 species